rnacentral:snRNA from 7 species
AUACUUACCUGGACGGGGUCGAUAGCCUAUCAAGAAGGCCUAUGGCCUAGACCAGUGAUCUAUAUUGCACUUGAUGGAUGUGCUGGUCUACUAUCUCCCCAAAUGGGAGAGUAGACGUCAUAAUUUAUGAGCGAGGGGGUACGCGUUCGCGCGGCCCCUAC